rnacentral:rRNA from 1 species
UACGUAGGUGGCAAGCGUUUGUCCGGAAUUAUUGGGGCGUAAAGCGCGCGCAGGCGGUCCUUUAAGUCUGAUGUGAAAGCCCACGGCUCAACCGUGGAGGGUCAUUGGAAACUGGGGGGACUUGAGUGCAGAAGAGGAGAGUGGAAUUCCACGUGUAGCGGUGAAAUGCGUAGAGAUGUGGAGGAACACCAGUGGCGAAGGCGGACUCUCUGGUCUGUAACUGACGCUGAGGCGCGAAAGCGUGGGGAGCAAACAGG